rnacentral:rRNA from 1 species
UACAGAGGGUGCAAACGUUGCUCGGAGUUACUGGGCGUAAAGCGCGUGUAGGCGGUGCCGCACGUCCGGUGCGAAAGCCCAGGGCUCAACCCUGGAAGUGCACUGGAUACGACGGCGCUGGAGUACUGAAGAGGAGAGCGGAAUUCCCGGUGUAGAGGUGAAAUUCGUAGAUAUCGGGAGGAACACCAGUGGCGAAGGCGGCUCUCUGGGCAGAUACUGACGCUGAGACGCGAAAGCAUGGGGAGCAAACAGG